CAGCCGCCACGGUAAUACGUAGGGGGCAAACGUUAUCCGGAAUAACUGGGCGUAAAGGGUGCGCAGGUGGUUUAACAAGUUAGUGGUGAAAGGCAUAGGCUCAACCAAUGUAAGCCAUUAAAACUGUUUAACUUGAGUGCAGGAGAGGAAAGUGGAAUUCCCAGUGUAGCGGUGAAAUGCGUAGAUAUUCGUAAGAACACCAGUGGCGAAGGCGGCUCACUGGCCCGAUACUGACGCUGAGGCACGAAAGCGUGGGGAGCAAACAGGAUUAGAUACCCGCGUAGUCCCUGUCUCUUAUACA
rnacentral:rRNA from 1 species